UGCAGAGUCCCGUGAACCAUCGAGUCUUUGAACGCAAGUUGCGCCGUCA
rnacentral:rRNA from 1 species